rnacentral:rRNA from 1 species
UUUCAGGUGAGUUGAUUGGAAUGAGUACAAUCUAAACACCUUAACGACUAUCCAUUGGAGGGCAAGCCUGGUGCCAGCAGCCGCGGUAAUUCCAGCUCCAAUAGCGUAUACUAAUGUUGUUGCAGUUAAAAAGCUCGUAGUCGGAUUUCAGUAGGCUCAGUUAAGUCUCUUCUAUUGAGUUCUUUAUGGGCCUGCUUCUUUGACAGAAACUUCUAUGUUAUUCAUUUAGCGUGGGUAGCGACUGUCUCUUUUACUUUGAGAAAAUUAGAGUGUUCAAAGCAGGUAUUCGCCUGAAUAUUACUCUUGGAAUAAUGCUAUAAGACUUUGGUUCUAAUGUAUUGGUGAUUGGGACCAGAGUAAUGAUUGAUAGGGACGGUUGGGGUCUUACGUACUGCAAAGCGAGAGGUGAAAUUCUUGGACCUUUGUAUGACGAACAACUGCGAAAGCAUUGGACUAGGACGUUCCCGUUGAUCAAGAACGAAAGUUGGGGGAUCGAAGACGAUCAGAUACCGUCGUAGUCUCAACCAUAAACUAUGCCAGCUAGGGAUCGGAGGACGUUACAUGUUCGACUCCUUCGGCACCUUAUGAGAAAUCAAAGCAUUUGGGUUCCGGGGGGAGUAUGGUCGCAAGGCUGAAACUUAAAGGAAUUGACGGGAGGGCACCACCAGGAGUGGAGCCUGUGGCUUAAUUUGACUCAACACGGGAAAACUUACCAGGUCCGGACAUAGUAAGGAUUGACAGAUUGAAAGCUCUUUCUUGAUUCUAUGGGUGGUGGUGCAUGGCCGUUCUUAGUUGGUGGAGUGAUUUGUCUGGUUAAUUCCGUUAACGAACGAGACCUCAGCCUGCUAAAUAGUGUCAUUUUCUUCGGAAGAUGUGCACUUCUUAGAGGGACUACUUGUGAAACAACCAAGCGGAAGCUUGAGGCAAUAACAGGUCUGUGAUGCCCUUAGAUGUUCUGGGCCGCACAUGGGCUACACUGGUGCAUUCAACAAGCAUAAUCACCUUAACCGAAGGGUUUGGGUAAUCUUUGAAAUUGCACCGUGCUUGGGAUAGACUAUUGCAAUUUUUAGUCUUCAACGAGGAAUUCCUAGUAAACGCAAGUCAUCAGCUUGCAUUGAUUACGUCCCUGCCCUUUGUACACACCGCCCGUCGCUCCUACCGAUUGGAUGAUCCGGUGAAUAAUUCGGACUGCGGAGUUGCUCGGUUUCCGAGCUUCACUGCGGGAAGUUUAGUGAACCUUAUCAUCUAGAGGAAGGAGAAGUCGUAACAAGGUUUCCGUAGGUGAACCUGCAGAAU